rnacentral:lncRNA from 1 species
CAUGUAUAUUUGACCAAAAAGAAAUCUUCUGUUUCUUACCACUACCUAUCCUUUAAAUUUUUUUGCAAUUUGUCUAUGUUUAUUAUUUAUGCCCAGGUUUUAUCAUCUGAAAGAUUCCAGAGAAGCCCAGUGAUCCUGAAGGGUACUGGCAGCCACAGUAUCUGAAAUGCUGUGUCUGAGGACCAUCUUCCCCUGACAUUGCAGAAUACCUAGGACAGAGCAACUGUUUCCAGGCCUACUCUUAUCACAGUCUCCUUGGGGACUUUUAAAAAUCCAGGCCUUUGGACUUAAUGAUUCAGAGUUUCUGGGGCUGGACACCUGCUAGCUCCGUGCUUCAGUCACUCCCCAGCAAAUAUCUUCCACUGAGAUCGUGUGGUUUUAAUCAUACAAGGAGAGUGGCAGAAGAACAGAAAGAUUGAAACCAAGGACAGAGAACACCUGAAAUUGGUAAGGAAGAAAACAACCAAAGGUAGUAUUUCACUAAGAAAAACAUCUUAAUUUUUCCUAGCCCUGGUCUUGGCUGUUACAUAGUGGGAUAGCUCGAUGUGCAUACAGCGUGGUUGGCAGUAGAAAGAUCAAUAGAGGAGUUUAUAGGGUUUACGAAGACCUGGAUUCUAAUCCUGCCUCAGCUAUUUAUGAGGAAUGGCUUCAAAUGUUCAGUGGAAGUGAACAAGUUCUUGUAUUGUUUUCUCCUAUUCUCCUUCCAGCUUCAGGGUCAUAUGUCACAGCGCUGGGCAUUUCAUUUGGGUAUCUAUCAUCAUUCCCAUUCUGCAAUGAGGAAAUGCUGUCAGAGUGAUUAAGUAAUUUGCCCAUGGUCUCACAUAGAAGCCUGUCUUCUCCAGGGAACACAGCACUCAGAAUCGUCUCGGCCCCUGCAUAAGCCUGCAUGAGCCUGGGCUCUGGGGACCCAUCCUGGUGCAUCAUUCGUUGGCUCUGUGACAAUGGGCACAUCGUUUAACCUCUCUUGGCUUCAUUCUCCUUACUGGAAUGAUGGAGAGAGUUUUGCCUAUUUCAGAGGCUUGCUCUUCUAUACGUGAGCCUAUAAGUAACUUGUCUUAAGAAUUUCCACUCCUUCUGUACUCUGAUUUAAAUUUGAAGGCAUCAAAACAAAAACAAUCAAGAUUUCAGAUUCCAAAUACUUUCAUUUUCAUUUUUUAUUUUGAUUAGAAUUUCUUCUGAAUGAAUUUCUGUUUUGUAAUUUUAGCAUUGCCCUGAGGGGGGGAAAAGGCAGUUUAUCACCAUGCAGUAUAUUUUUCAGACAGCCUCUCUUUGACAAACUGAUUUUUGUCAGUCUCAACUGACUCACCAAUUCCAAAUCCCAGGGCUUCCCUGGGAAACUUCCUUGGAUCAUGGCUCUGCCACACAGGACCGACAUCCCAGAGGCCAAAGCAACCUGCUAUAAACUGAGAUCAUUGCUCAGCAAGCUGGUACCACAUGCAAGGAGUCUCAAGAGCUAACAGGAAAUGAUUCAAGACCAGAAUUACCCAGAACAAGUGUGUUAGCUUCCUCUGCGCAUGGGAUAAUAAGGAGCUUGCAUCACCAACCUUCCGUGAAUAGCCUACUCAGUGAUUCAACAGGUUUCAAAAUUGUGAAAUAAGGGAUGUCUCUUGCAUGGUGUACUUUAGAAGUCUCUACCUGAGGAUGAAGGAAGUACCCAGGAGUAGGCAUCAUUCCACUUUUGUACCAUCUUCCACUAUGUUUAUAUGGGUCCUCACUGAGAAAAAGGUAUUAAAAGUGAGAUGGAAAGAAUAGGUCAGCUAGGUGAAAAAUGGGAGGAAGAGACAGAAGGAUCUGGGUUACAAAAGGCUGAGACCAGGCCGGGCACGGUGGUUCACUCCUGUAAUCCCAGCACUUUGGGAGGCCGAAGCAGGUGGAUCACG